AGAGUUUGAUCAUGGCUCAGGAUGAACGCUAGCGACAGGCUUAACACAUGCAAGUCGAGGGGCAGCAUGGUUUGUAGCAAUACAGAUUGAUGGCGACCGGCGCACGGGUGAGUAACGCGUAUGCAACUUACCUAUCAGAGGGGGAUGGCCCGGCGAAAGUCGGAUUAAUACCCCAUAAAACAGGGGUCCCGCAUGGGAAUAUUUGUUAAAGAUUCAUCGCUGAUAGAUAGGCAUGCGUUCCAUUAGGCAGUUGGCGGGGUAACGGCCACAAACCGCGAUGGAUAGGGGUUCUGAGAGGAAGGUCCCCCANAUUGGUACUGAGACACGGACCAAACUCCUACGGGAGGCA
rnacentral:rRNA from 1 species